AGGCAGGGGUGAGCCCAGCCACUCACCUUCCAGGAAGCGUGGAUUCCUGGAAGUGAGGGGAACCGCCGUCAUUUCGCAGGCAGCGGCAGUAGAUAGUGACCUUCUGUCUACAUAUAACACAGACGAAGACAGCUCGGCUUCAUUAUCCAAGUGCUUGGACAGCAGCGCAGAGAGGAUGAAUUCUCAGAUAAUCCUAGGAUUGGCCAGCCUCUAAAAUAAGAAGGAAUUCACAUCUCUUCUAAGAAGAGAAGGCAAAUCAAGCAGCCUGGAAUUCAGAGUCUUCUCCAGCAGGAUUAAGAAACCAACAAAGAGAGUCUGCCUGUGGCAAUGUCUACACUGACAGAAUUCCAUGCUCUUAUUUGUUCCUACACAGUAAAAUGAGGCCAGAAAUACCUGCCAACAAUAACCUAUCUUAAUUUUUCCUGGCUACUUUGUAUGUGUUGAGGGAAGAGAGAGGGCCAGUUGGGAGAAAAUCAUUCUUUUGUGGAUGUUGGGGAGGGGGUGGUAAAAGAUAGAAUAAUAUUCCACCCAUGCUGGGAAGUACAAGCUGCAUGUUUAAACUCAGAGGAAAUAAAGAAGAAACUUUCAAUUGCAUUUUCACUGGAAAAAAGUCAGGACUUAUUUCUGAGCCAAGUCCUGAAAAAUGCUUUACCCUUAACCUACUAAGAAAAAGGGGACUGCACGUAAGAUACAAUUGAACUAAAGGCACUUAGUGGGCAAAAAAGCCAUUAUAUUUUGUGCUGGAGACAUCAGUGUCUAUUGACUACAGCAAGAACAGUUCUGAAGCUGCCAGCCAGAAGACAGCUCCCACACUCUGGGGCCCACCCCAGAAGCUCCCAUGAGAUUUCUCCUGCUUUAUAACUGUAAGGCUAUUUUCUUCUUUUAAGGCUUUAUUUUUAUCUCAGGAGCCACUCUUCUGCCUAUUCUCAUGACCCAGAGAGCUGUCUAGAUUCUCUGGCUUUAGGCUGUUAGUCGGGGUGGGGGUGAAGGGCUGAAGUAUCCCAUAUACCAUAAAGCAAGAUUCACUGACCUACUGGAGACCAUGACGAGAUAAGGGAUUCUCAGCGAGGCAUUUCACAUACCCCUACCAAAUGAGACACUACACACCCAAAGAUAAUCUGAUUUCGUCUUUUAUCUGGUCUUGUCCUCAGAAUCUGAGAUACCUUAUGCAGAAAUAUUCUAGGCAGUCAGUCACCUGUUUUUAAUGCUUCCUAAGGAUAUGAACACGUACCUUCACCCAAGUAAAGUGAACAAGUAGCAGUAUUGGGAGACACCCAGGCCUCUAGUCUCCAACUUGCCCAUGAUGAUGAAAGGCCUAAAGCUGACAUGUGAGCGAGUCAGGACAAUAUCAAGCUCACCACGAUGCUUUGAGGAGUCACACUAGGGAGACGUGGGCACAGAUGAAGCUAUCAAAUAUGUAAGCGGGGGUUGACAAGAGUCACAACAGUAGACAGUUUUGCUUAAGAGAAGGGACUUGAGGAGAAAGAAGGUAUGCAAAGCUUGACAUAAUGUGGUCAGUAAUGCAGCAAAUCUUCCUGGAAGCACAGUUAAGUAAAUUCUUGACCUUGUAGGGGGAAAAGGGGUACCUUAUUUCCUAAACAUCUCAUAUCUAAAGAUCCGUGUUCCAUUAAACAUUCUACUGUCCCCAGACAGGACCAGUUAUGAUUUAAAAAAAAAAAGCAUAGAAAUUGAAUGAAAAAUUUAAGUGAGAACCUACGACUCUAGCAGACAAAUGGUAAGAAAAUAUCUGGGGAUGGGGCAGUUCGAGGAGGUACCUGGAGGGCUGUUUUGGUUUAGACUGCUUCUGAAGUCUGCUCUGUUCUAUUUCUUUCUUAAGGUUCACAUACAGUGAAUCUCGUCCUUUCCAGCUUUGCUUCUCAAGUUCCCUAGACUUCUCACCCCAGACAACUCUUUCCACUCCACCCUAAGUUUUUUCUCUACCACGUUUUCCCACUCUGCUCACUGGCACCCUGAUCUGCCCACCUAGGCCUAUGUCCUUCUCUCCAGCAUUAUCGACAAAACCCCAGGAUCCCUCACCUUUCUGCCCAAGUACCUUCUCUGCUUCUUUCUUCCGCUGUGUCUCUUUCUACCCAAGCCGUACCCCACCGAGGAGCCUCACACACCCAGCUCUUGUCCUCGG